rnacentral:rRNA from 1 species
GCCAGACUCCUACGGGAGGCAGCAGUGAGGAAUAUUGGUCAAUGGGCGGGAGCCUGAACCAGCCAAGCCGCGUGAAGGAAGAAGGCGCCAAGCGUCGUAAACUUCUUUUGUCGGGGAACAAAGGGCGCCACGUGUGGCGUUGUGAGUGUACCCGAAGAAAAAGCAUCGGCUAACUCCGUGCCAGCAGCCGCGGUAAUACGGAGGAUGCGAGCGUUAUCCGGAUUUAUUGGGUUUAAAGGGUGCGUAGGCGGUCCGGAAAGUCAGCGGUAAAAGCCCGGGGCUCAACCCCGGGGCUGCCGUUGAAACCGGAGCGCUAGAAUUCCGAUGCCGUCGGAGGAAUGUGUGGUGUAGCGGUGAAAUGCAUAGAUAUCACACAGAACACCGAUUGCGAAGGCAUCUGACGAAUCGGAGAUUGACGCUGAUGCACGAAAGCGUGGGUAUCGAACAGGAUUAGAUACCCGGGUAC